UCUCAGUGAUUAAACUAACUAGCUCACUUUGAAAUGCUGUGAAAAGAGAUGAACAUCUGAGUGAG